UACAGAGGGUGCGAGCGUUAAUCGGAAUUACUGGGCGUAAAGCGUGCGUAGACGGUUAUUUAAGUCGGGUGUGAAAGCCCCGGGCUCAACCUGGGAAUUGCAUUCGAGACUGAAUAGCUAGGGUACGGUAGAGGGAAGCGGAAUUUCCGGUGUAGCGGUGAAAUGCGUAGAUAAUCGGAAGGAACAUCAGUGGCGAAAGCGGCUUCCAUGGACC
rnacentral:rRNA from 1 species